AUACGGAAGUCCAGGCGUUAUCCGGAUUUAUUGGGUUUAAAGGGAGCGUAGGCCGUCUGUUAAGCGUGUUGUGAAAUGUAGAUGCUCAACAUCUGAAUUGCAGCGCGAACUGGCAGACUUGAGUGUGCGCAACGUAGGCGGAAUUCGUGGUGUAGCGGUGAAAUGCUUAGAUAUCACGAAGAACUCCGAUUGCGAAGGCAGCGUUACGGGAGCACAACUGACGCUGAAGCUACGAAAGUGGC
rnacentral:rRNA from 1 species